rfam:Triticum aestivum genome assembly, contig: Triticum_aestivum_CS42_TGACv1_scaffold_622542_7DS
CUACUACCCCCUCCGUCUGAAAUUAUUUGUCGCGGAAAUGGAUGUAUAUAAACGUAUUUUAGUUCCAGAUACAUGCAUUUGUAUCCAUUUCCGCGACAAGUAAUUCGGGACGGAGGGAGUACUAU